rnacentral:rRNA from 1 species
CAGGACGAACGCUGGCGGCGUGCUUAACACAUGCAAGUCGAGCGGAAAGGCCUUUCGGGGUACUCGAGCGGCGAACGGGUGAGUAACACGUGAGUAAUCUGCCCAUCGCUUCAGGAUAGCCAUCGGGAAACGGUGAUUAAUACUGGAUAUGACAUUCCUUCGCAUGUUGGGGUGUGGUAAGUUUUUCGGCGGUGAUGUGCUCGCGG